ensembl:rRNA 5S_rRNA 5S ribosomal RNA
GGCUAUGGCCAUACCACCCUGAACACACCUGAUCUCAUCUGAUCUUGGAAGCUAAGCAAGGUUGGGCCUGGUUAUACUUGGAUGGGAGACCACUUGGGAAUACUGGCGGCUAUGGGCU